rnacentral:rRNA from 1 species
CCAAUAGCGUAUAUUAAAGUUGUUGCAGUUAAAAAGCUCGUAGUUGAAUUUCGGGGUCAGCAAGUUGGUCGUGCCACUGGUAUGCACUGGCUUUGCUGAUUCCUCCUUCUUGUAGAACCGUAAUGCCAUUUAGUUGGUGUUGCGGGGAAACAGGACUGUUACUUUGAAAAAAUUAGAGUGUUUAAAGCAGGCUAACGCCUGAAUACAUUAGCAUGGAAUAAUGAAAUAGGACGAGCGAUCCUAUUUUGUUGGUUUCUAGGAUUGACGUAAUGAUUAAUAGGGAUAGUUGGGGGCAUUAGUAUUCAAUUGUCAGAGGUGAAAUUCUUGGAUUUAUUGAAGACUGACUACUGCGAAAGCAUUUGCCAAGGAUGUUUUCAUUAAUCAAGAACGAAAGUUAGGGGAUCGAAGACGAUCAGAUACCGUCGUAGUCUUAACCAUAAACUAUGCCGACUAGGGAUCGGAUGAUGUUAAUUUUUUAAUGACUCAUUCGGCGCCUUACG